GUAACACGUAAAGAACCUGCCCACAGGUCUGGGAUAACCACGAGAAAUCGGGGCUAAUACCGGAUGGGUCAUCGGACCGCAUGGUCCGAGGAUGAAAGGCGCUUCGGCGUCGCCUGGGGAUGGCUUUGCGGUGCAUUAGCUAGUUGGUGGGGUAAUGGCCCACCAAGGCGACGAUGCAUAGCCGACCUGAGAGGGUGAUCGGCCACACUGGGACUGAGACACGGCCCAGACUCCUACGGGAGGCAGCAGUAGGGAAUCUUCCACAAUGGACGAAAGUCUGAUGGAGCAACGCCGCGUGAACGAUGAAGGCCUUCGGGUCGUAAAGUUCUGUUGUAAGGGAAGAACAAGUGCCGCAGGAAAUGGCGGCACCUUGACGGUACCUUGCGAGAAAGCCACGGCUAACUACGUGCCAGCAGCCGCGGUAAUACGUAGGUGGCAAGCGUUGUCCGGAAUUAUUGGGCGUAAAGCGCGCGCAGGCGGCCUCUUAAGUCUGAUGUGAAAGCCCCCGGCUCAACCGGGGAGGGCCAUUGGAAACUGGGAGGCUUGAGUAUAGGAGAGAAGAGUGGAAUUCCACGUGUAGCGGUGAAAUGCGUAGAGAUGUGGAGGAACACCAGUGGCGAAGGCGACUCUUUGGCCUAUAACUGACGCUGAGGCG
rnacentral:rRNA from 1 species